rnacentral:rRNA from 1 species
UACGGAAGGGGCUAGCGUUGUUCGGAAUUACUGGGUGUAAAGAGCGCGUAGGCGGCUUACCAAGUUGGGGGUGAAAUCACGGAGCUCAACUCCGGAACUGCCUUCAAAACUGGUAGGCUCGAGUCCGGAAGAGGGGCGUUGAAUUCCCAGUGUAGAGGUGAAAUUCGUAGAUAUUGGGAAGAACACCGGUGGCGAAGGCGGCUGCCUGGUCCGGUACUGACGCUGAGGCGCGAAAGCGUGGGUAGGAAACAGG